rnacentral:rRNA from 1 species
AUGAAGUUUGGUUCAAUAUAUGAGGAGUACCUCAGGGCAGAGCAGGACAAAUAUCUUGCUAAAUGCUCCCAUGUAGAGUACAAACGUCUCAAGAAGGUAUUGAAGCGAUGCCGACUCGAUCGCUCAUUGCAAGCAGAUGGCACCAACGGUGAGCAGCAGGAGGACAGGAGCGACGAUUCUUCAGAUGCUUGCGACUGCAAUUCUUGCACAUUGUGUGAUCAGAUGUUCUUUACAGAACUCACCAAGGAGACUUCAGAUAUAGCUGGCUAUUUCAGCUCUAGAGUACAGCAUCUUCUAAAUCUUCAUGUUCCUUCAGGAUUGCAACGGUAUAUAUGGCGCGUACGUCAAUGCUUCAUAGAUGAUCAACAAAUCAUGGUUCAAGAAGGCAGACUGCUAGUCAACUAUGUGACUAUGAAUGCUAUUGCUAUUCGCAAAAUUCUCAAGAAAUAUGACAAAGUACAUGGCUCUGUUAGCGGUAGAGAUUUCAGGAGCAAGAUGCAAAGUGAGCAUACUGAACUGUUGCAGUCACCUUGGCUGAUCGAGCUGGGUGCUUUCCAUCUGAACUGUGAUAGUUCAGACAUUGAUGAACCAGUAGGGUUCUUCAAGAACGGAUUCUUCAAGAAUUUUUCCUGUGACUUGACAGGAACACAGCCAGUAAUGACAAUGGCCAUUUCUGAAACUAUCAAAUAUGACUACAGUCUAACUUGUCCAAUUUGCUUGGACACCUUGUUCAAUCCAUAUGCGCUUAGCUGCGGUCACCUCUUCUGCAAAGGCUGUGCAUGUGGUGCUGCAUCUGUGUACAUCUUCCAGGGUGUUAGGAGCGCACCUCCAGAGGCCAAGUGCCCUGUAUGCCGAGAGGUUGGCGUGUUUGCUCAUGCCGUGCAUAUGAACGAACUUGACCUGCUCAUCAAAACCAGGUGCAAAGAUUACUGGAGAUGCAGGCUACGCGAGGAGCGGACCGAGAUGGUGAAGCAAUCCAAAGAAUACUGGGAGUCCCAGGCCAUGCUGUCGAUGGGUAUCUGA